UACGAAGGGGGCUAGCGUUGCUCGGAAUUACUGGGCGUAAAGCGUAUGCAGGCGGACUUUUAAGUCGGGGGUGAAAUCCCGAGGCUCAACCUCGGAACUGCCUUCGAUACUGGAAAGCUCGAGUCCGGGAGAGGUGAGUGGAACUGCGAGUGUAGAGGUGAAAUUCGUAGAUAUUCGCAAGAACACCAGUGGCGAAGGCGGCUCACUGGCCCGGUACUGACGCUGAGGUGCGAAAGCGUGGGGAGCAAACAGG
rnacentral:rRNA from 1 species